GCGGUGCUGCUGGAGGGCCCGGCUUCCUCUCUAUAGUUCGCGCGGCUCAGAGCGGCCAGUCACGUGAAGGCCUGCGGAGGAGCGAAGGGGUGUUGCGUGAUUGCGGGCUGGCUGCGCACUGAUGGACAGUGAGGUGCAGAGGGACGGGAGAAUCCUGGAUCUGAUUGACGAUGCCUGGAGGGAAGACAAGUUACCAUAUGAGGAUGUGGCAAUACCCCUGAAUGAGCUUCCUGAACCAGAGCAAGACAAUGGUGGCACAACGGAGUCAGUAAAAGAGCAAGAGAUGAAAUGGACGGAUUUGGCUCUGCAGUAUUUGCAUGAAAAUGUUCCUCCAACAGGAAACUAGUGAAUCAGUGCUAUUUCCAGGAGUGAUUUCAGUUCAAGAAGAUGAUUUUUCAGCAGCACUUCACUGUGCCCAAUCAAAUAAGGAAAUAAGACCUUUAAAAUGGUCUCAGUUUAAGCAACUUGUUGAAUUCCGCAAGAAACAAAAUACAGUUGGAAAAGCCCAUAAAUAUGAUGCAAUUAUGACAUGAGCUAAAACUGCCAGACAGGAUCUCACCCCACUUCGUGCACAGGAUGGACAGAGCUCAGGAGCAGAUUGGAGUUGUGUUAUUAGUGAAGUUCCGAAGAACAGUAUUACACUGUUAUCCUCCAUGUGGACCUCUACAGGGAUGAAGCACACACUUUGCCAUUGGUUUCCACAGCUUGUUGCUAACAGCAGCAGCAUGCCAAGAUUCGGGAAUUCUGGGUUUUAUUUCAUAUCUUGGAAAGUGCCCCCCGGCCCCCUUCAACCUCUGUCCCUGCACCUUCAUUCCAGUCCCAUCUCUACCUCAGCAAUUUGUCUAAGUCUCCCCUCUCCUCCUUGGGCCCUUGUUCAAAUCCCAGACCUUGGCCUCAAGAAAGUAUUAGUAGUAAGUCACUAUUUACAAAUGUUUUGAAUAUGGUAGAAGAGCUGUGGAACUGUGCCUUAAAUGUCACUGCAUACAUUCUCCACGGACCCCUAAAGAAGAAAGCUGUGAAAAAUGGAUCAAGAAAUAGGUAGUUUCUAGCUUCAGAGUAGCAGCCCAAAUAUGCUAAGAAUGCUUCAUUUUUUCCAAAGGGUAGUUGUAUUUGUUUGAAUAAGUUGUAUGGCACCUGUUCACUAUGAAAAAAGAUAGAACGUUCUUUCCUCCCUGAUCUCUGUCCCUCCACCUCUUUAGUCCUGAGCUGUCCAUUGCUACAGGUAAGUCUUCUUCUGAGGUUUUGGGUUUCAUUCCCACUGAACUGAAAAUAUUUUAAUAAGGUCUAGAAAUGUUGGUGAUAGAGAGGUGAGAGGUCUUGGAAUAAAAAUAUUUUAAACACUUAUCAUAAGCCAAGCCAUCAGUUGAAAUGCAUUUCUUUGAGCCUACAGUUCUCUGAUCCACUAGACCAAAGUUUUAGAGAUUGUUCUCCUCAGUUCCCAUUUUUAUGGAAUGAAAAAAAAUGUUGUCUAUCAGAUGGCCAUGUAAAAUCACUAAUCAGUGAACAUUUCCCUGUGAACUAUUUGGUUGCAUGUUAACUUGGAAAGACUAGGGGAGAUCCCAUGUUCCUUUGUCAGUUGUGUCUCUCUACUGUCCCCAGCAAAGUACUUAGAAAUUGACUUGGACUCAACCCAGCCCAGCUCUGCAUAAGCAGCACAACUCUCAUGCCCCACCCUUCCCUGCUUUCCCUUUCAUUCUCCACUUCCACUCGUCAUUUGUUACCAUUUUUGAUGACUCUCCAUAACAAGAGAUCAGAAAUUAUAAGCUUAAAAGGGGUGGACCAGUAUUUCAUAUCUUGGUGCUUCAGACUCGGGUCAGAAAGAAGCAGGAGUUUUGUAUUUGCAUCCAAGUCCCAAAACCUACCAUGCAGUUCACUAUAAUUCUUAAUGGUCCUCAUACAAUCUGACAUUUAUAGAACUGGGGGGUUUCCAAAGAGCCUUGAGAUCCAACCAAUAGACCUCUCUAUUGAUGCUUUGGUUUGAUGUUCUUUGUCCUACUCCUAUACCAGAGAGUCUCUUGGCCUUUUUCUUUCCCUGGCUUUGCACUUGCUGGUCACCUUGCUUGACAACAAAUCUGACAGAUGAAGCAUGAGAGAAAAUGGUUGCACCAUUUGUGGUGGAAAAUUGAUAAAUUGACGCUUACUGAUUGUAUCAGUUUUAAAAUCCUCAUUCUACAGUUUUGGGGGAAGAAAAGGCAAAGUUCUCCUGCCUGCAACUUUCUUCUGCAAAAGCUCAAACAGCAGGUUUGUUUCCGCUUAUACACGGCCUUCUUUAUUCUGGCUUUCUGCUCAGUAGGCCACUCAGUUGCUUCCUGAACAGUUGCUACUGAUUAGACUUUAUGGUUAAGAGGAGAUUAAAUCUGUUUUAACCACUGUUA